UACGUAGGGUCCGAGCGUUGCUCGGAAUUACUGGGCGUAAAGGGCGCGUAGGCGGGAUGGCAAGUCGGUCGUGAAAUCCCUCGGCUCAACCGAGGAACGUCGAUCGAUACUGCUGUUCUUGAGGAUUGCAGAGGAGACUGGAAUUCCCGGUGUAGCGGUGAAAUGUGUAGAGAUCGGGAGGAACACCGGUGGCGAAGGCGGGUCUCUGGGCAAUUCCUGACGCUGAGGCGCGAAAGCGUGGGGAGCAAACGGG
rnacentral:rRNA from 1 species